UACGUAGGGACCGAGCGUUGUCCGGAUUCAUUGGGCGUAAAGAGCUCGUAGGCGGCCACUCAAGUCGAAUGUGAAACCUCGAGGCUUAACCUCGAGCCUGCAUUCGAUACUGGGCGGCUAGAGUCUGGUAGGGGGAUCUGGAAUUCCUGGUGUAGGCGGUGGAAUGCGCAGAUAUCAGGAGGAACACCGGUGGCGAAGGCGGGAUCCGUGGGCCAGUACUGACGCUGAGGAGCGAAAGCAUGGGGAGCGAACAGG
rnacentral:rRNA from 1 species